GACAGACAUGUACACCUCACAAUUGUUCCAUACACUAAUAAUUUUAUUGACCUAUUGCUUAUAAUAUCUGAAAAAUAGACCAAACCACAAAAACUAAAAAUUGUCCAAUGAACCAUGAAAAUGAGGUCAAGGUCAGAUGAAACCUGCUAGACAGACAAUGUUCACCUGACAAUCAUUCCAUACACCAAAUAUAGUGACCCUAUUGCUUGUAAUAUUUGAGAAAUAGACCAAACCACAAUAAAUUGCUUCGCCGAGCACAGCUGGAUACGACCGCAGAGGUCCAACCCUGAACAGUUGGGGCAAAAAUGGACACAAUAUUCGCCCUUGAUACAGGUCUGAGUUUGGAUUGUAAUUAAAUAUUUGACACAUAAUAGGUUUCUGACACAGAAUAACUGUAGUCAAAGAACUUCAAAUUGAUUAUAUGAUUUGAAUUUAUAUUCAAUUUUUUGCUUUUGUGCAAUACACUAUGCGAAUUGACACCC